GAAAUGCGAUAAGUAGUGUGAAUUGCAGAAUUCAGUGAAUCAUCGAAUCUUUGAACGCACAUUGCGCCCUUUGGUAUUCCUUGGGGCAUGCCUGUUCGAGCGUCAUCUAACCGCUCAAGCAAUACGCUUGGUGUUGGGCGCUUGUCCCGCCAGCCCGCGCGCGGACUCGCCUCGAAGACAUUGGCGGCCUGUGUGUACCGGCCACGCGCGCAGCAGACCCGCGCCGCGUGAGCCCCCCAACGCACGCAGGCGUCCAGGAAGCACCACCCACGUUUGACCUCGGAUCAGGUAGGGAUACCCGCUGAACUUAA
rnacentral:misc_RNA from 1 species